rnacentral:lncRNA from 1 species
UAUUGCGUAAUGACGUGCUCCGAUUUUACAGUAAUUAUUUAACAAUAAAUAGCAACAAUUAAUUGUUAAUUUAUAAUAAAUCAGUUCAUUAACUCGCUGGCUACAAUUUGAGUACAUAAUUAUUGCUGGAUGUCACGUAUUUUAGCCAAAAAUUGAUAUUGUUUAAAGUGCCCAAAAGCGGCCGGGUCACGAAAAGACGCCAUGGGAUUUGAUGACACAAAAUGGCCGCAGAUUUCUUUGGAUAUGUCAAAAAUUAUGAGAUCUGGACAGAUGCCAUGACAUUUACAACAAAAAAAUAGCCUCAGAUGUAAAAAAAAGAUGACCAAGAAUUAAUUGGAAAAAUGACAUGACAAUGAUAAAAGACUGGGCUUUUUAUUGAUCAAGGAGCCAAAUUUACAGUGCCAAAUAGCCAAAGAUACAAAAAGAUGGCCAGAGUUUAUUUGUAAAAUAUGUCUGACAAAGUGAAAAAAAGUAUCGGCACUUUAUUGAACAAUAAAUUAUGUGGCUGAUGAAUGUUUAAAGCUAUUCAAGACUGAAUAUUAAGUAAUUGUUGGCUAAAUAAAAAUGUGCUGAUAAUUCAAACCAAGACAAAAGUGUUUUACAUACCAUAGAAUGAUAUUGUACCAAGUGACUUGUCAUAAAUAACUAACAAAUAGAAAUAAAUAUACUAUUCAAUCAAAUGACGACGAUGUUGGUGGUCGUAAAAGUGGAAUUUGGCAUGUUUACUAAUUGCAAUCAUAAGAAAAAUAAUCAUUCAUAUACACGUAGGAGCAUAUAUCUGAAUCAUGUCUCAUAAAUCAUCUAAAUAGUCAUUGGUGCAUUUGAAUGCUGUCUCCUAGAUCUUCUACAUGGUCGUUGGUGUAUCUGAAUCAUUUCUUCAAGAAGACUAGACACCAGGAAAGAUAAUAAUGUAUGUACAUUGUCUAGUCUUCUUGCUUGUCUUUCUUCUAGAACUUCUAAAUAAGGUAAGAGGCCAUCUGGUCAUUUUUUUAACCAAUCCCUCAGGGUAAAAGUGCGUCAACAAGCUUGUAGCAUUAAAGAAUUUAUGAUAUAAUUAUUUAAAGCUACUUGAUAAUCCCCCAAUAUUUAUAUUGUAUAUAUUUUUGUGACUUGUAUAGCUCACCUUGAUCACUUUUUUUUUUUAUUUAAAUUAUAAAAUUUUAAUGCCAGAAUAAAUGGUGGUAGUUGAUUGAUCAAGGUGUGCACAUCAACCUGUCUAUCUCAAACAGAGUAGACGGGGGUGAAUAGGAUGUAUUUCAGGUAUUUUUGAAUUGUUAUUUUUUCUAGGAGAUAUUAGGAUGUUUAUUUUAUCUCUUUUCAGGUUUAUUAUAUAUU